rnacentral:rRNA from 1 species
GACGAACGCUGGCGGCGUGCCUAACACAUGCAAGUCGAGCGAAUGAAGUUCCUUCGGGAAUGGAUUUAGCGGCGGACGGGUGAGUAACACGUGGGCAACCUGCCUCAUAGAGGGGAAUAGCCUUCCGAAAGGGAGAUUAAUACCGCAUAAGAUUGUAGUAUCGCAUGAUACAGCAAUUAAAGGAGCAAUCCGCUAUGAGAUGGGCCCGCGGCGCAUUAGCUAGUUGGUGAGGUAACGGCUCACCAAGGCGACGAUGCGUAGCCGACCUGAGAGGGUGAUCGGCCAGAUUGGGACUGAGACACGGCCCAGACUCCUACGGGAGGCAGCAGUGGGGAAUAUUGCACAAUGGGGGAAACCCUGAUGCAGCAACGCCGCGUGAGUGAUGACGGCCUUCGGGUUGUAAAGCUCUGUCUUCAGGGACGAUAAUGACGGUACCUGAGGAGGAAGCCACGGCUAACUACGUG